GGGCACUAGUUGAAAAGUUACUGUGCUCUGUGCGGCUAGAAUGAGCUAGGUAGCUACUAGUGGUGGGAGCAAUGCAGGCAGGAAGCUUCCCGGUUGUUUCCUCUGCUCAUCGAUCGUCACUGGCUCACUGCCCUGCCCAUGAGAUGAGAUGAGAUGAGAUCAUCACACCAUCAUGUUCACAAACCGGAGACUGGACUCGGCUCUCCCUCCCUCGCAAUGGAUCAGAGGAUAGCAGCUGCGUUGCAAGGCUACAUAAACAGAGCACCUCCAAGACGCCUUGAGAAGCAAGCACACCAAGCCAUAGCCAUUCGAGCAGCGACGGUAGCAGCUUGGACUUGGAGUUGGAUCCACCAUGGACGGCAACAAGACCCGUGAUCCGCUGCUUGGGACCGUGGCCAAGAAGACCAUCCCGGCUGCCGUCCGGCGGGCCAGCGGAUGGGCGCUCUUCACCGCCUGCGGCACCCUCGCCUCCUUCGCCUUUGGCCACGCGGUCGCCUACGCACUCGGCCAGCAUGUUGGUCUGGGCGCAGUCCUCCUUCUUCCUGCGGUGCGCCCAGUGGACGGACGCGGAGGCCGACGAGGAGAGCGCGCUCUGGUUCGGGAUGCUCUGCUGCGCCCUACUCCAGGCUCCCGUGCCGCCGCCGCUGGGUCCGCCGCGCCCUCGCCUACCUCGCGCUCGUGGUCACCAUCGUUGGCCACUGCAUGUACGUCGUCCACGUCCGCCUCAUCCUGGCCGCCGACACAGGAUACGUCUCCGCCAGGAUCUUGGGCACGGCGGACAUGGUCAUCUUCGCGGGGGGCGACCUCCUCUGCUUCCUGGGCCUCCUCCUCGGAGGUGACAAGUGAUGAGCAGCAGUGCGUAGGCAGCCGAUCGAUUAGCUGCAGAGGAUCAUGUCCAUGGAUCAGUUCGUUCAUGAGGUGCUACUGAUCAAGUGGUGGAAUAAGAAAGUAGAGUAUGCAUGCAUUAAUUAUGGAUCGAUAGUGUAGUAUUUGUGUAAUGUGGGCUAUAUAAUUAGCCUGAGUUGUAUGAUGUAUAUAUUGGACCUUUUCAUUUC